CUACCAGGGUAUCUAAUCCUGUUUGAUACCCGCACCUUCGAGCUUAAGCGUCAGUGCCGCUCCCGUCAGCUGCCUUCGCAAUCGGAGUUCCUCGUCAUAUCUAAGCAUUUCACCGCUACACGACGAAUUCCGCCAACGUUGCGCGUACUCAAGCGUCCCAGUUCGCGCUGCGAUGCAGACGUUGGGCGUCUACAUUUCACAACACGCUUAAAACGCGGCCUACGCUCCCUUUAAACCCAAUAAAUCCGGAUAACGCCCGGACCUUCCGUAUUACCGCGGCUGCUGGCAC
rnacentral:rRNA from 1 species